rfam:Schistosoma rodhaini strain Burundi genome assembly, scaffold: SROB_scaffold0002178
GCUUUGCUGACGAGUCCCAUAAUAGGACGAAACGACCGUCCAGUGC